CACGUAGGAAUCUAUCCUGGGGUGGGGGAUAACAGUGGGAAACUACUGCUAAUACCGCAUGAUACCUGAGGGUCAAAGGCGCGAGUCGCCUUGGGAGGAGCCUGCGUCUGAUUAGCUUGUUGGUGGGGUAAAGGCCUACCAAGGCGACGAUCAGUAGCUGGUCUGAGAGGAUGAUCAGCCACAUUGGGACUGAGACACGGCCCAAACUCCUACGGGAGGCAGCAGUGGGGAAUAUUGGACAAUGGGGGAAACCCUGAUCCAGCAAUGCCGCGUGUGUGAAGAAGGUCUUCGGAUUGUAAA
rnacentral:rRNA from 1 species